rnacentral:pre_miRNA from 1 species
GAUAGUAAGUACUGCGAUAUGCUGCAAGAACACAAACACAUAUCACAGUCUACUUGCUGUCUC